rnacentral:lncRNA from 1 species
AGCAAAAGAAUAACACUUAACACUAAGUGAAUGCAUCCUCUCCCAAGACUUCUGUUUUCUAACCUAUAAAAUGGGGGAUAACUGAAGGGGUGAGCUCAUCUUUACAGUGGUUUCUAUCUGGGGCAAUUCAUGGUACUAAGUUGUUCAGACCAAAAGGACCCCAGCCCAGUACUCCCACUGUGUUCAGAAAAGCAGGCAGCUAUCCUGCUCUUCUCUAUGUGGGUUAAAGCUUUUAAACUUCUUUCUGAGGAAAGGAAAAGAAACUAAGGCUGGUUUGGGGGUUGGAGGAAUAAAGACAGAGGAAGUACAGAGGAGACAGCAGUCUCAAGAGUGGCCAGUUACAUAUUCCAUUGAAGGAACAGUCCUGAGAAACUAGCAAGCCAUGAAGGAAGAUGGUCAACAGGCAAAAAAUUUAGGGAGAGUCCCAAACAAGCAUUCUUGGCUGGAAGAGGCCUCAGGUAAUUACGAGGUUCACAGACCUAUCCCACUCAAUAUAUAUCAGAACAAACUCCUCAUAUGCCCCCAAACCUACUAUUUUUCCUACUCCUCCACCAACCCACUGUUUCUAAGGCAAGAAAUCCGGGCAUCAUCUUAGACUUCUCUCUUCUCCCUCACCCCAACAUCCAAUCAGUCACUGAGUUUUGGUCAUCUUCUAUCUCACUAUUUCUUUUUCAUUUAUUUGUGUAACUUUGGGCUUUAUCAUUUUUCACUUCAACUUGUGUGUGUGUAAUGGUAAAAGCACAUAACAUAAAGUUUACCAUCUUAACCAUUUUUUAAGUAAACAGUUCUACAGUAUUGAGUAUAUUUACAUUGUUGCAAAAUGGAACUCCAGAACUUUCUCACCUUGCAAAACUGAAACUCUAUACCCAUAAAACAACUCCCCCCUUUUUUCCAUCUUCCCAACCCUUGGUAACCACCAUUCUACUUUCUGUUUCUACGACUUUGACUACUAUGGAUAUUUCAUAUAUUCUGGAAUUAUACUUCAUGUCAAUUCUUAUAACAGCCUCAUAACUGGUCUCUCUGCAUCUUUCUUAACAACAAAUCCCCAUUUAAAUGCUUCAGUGAUUUUCUAUUUACUACAGGAUAAAACCCAAGCUCCUUAACUUGACACACAAGCUUGAUAUACAAGUUCUGCCUGUGUGUCUGUUUGUGUACACAUCCCUCACCACACCCCAGAUCUCCCACUUUAAUCUCUAAAUUAAACUGGUGUUUCCACACACACUCUUCAACAAGUAACCAUCACCUUGUAUUUACUGAAUCAUUUCACUCAAAGCCUUGUCCAUUAUCAGCAGUCUUCUUCAUUAAGGAAGUCUUGCCCAGCAUCAGAAUGGCUGUGCUAGGACAACUCUGAUCUGCGAAAACUACUACAGAGCUUCCCUUUUCGGAGAACUAAUGCAAUUCCAGAGCCCACAACAGCAUUCAGACCUAGCUAACAGCAACAGAGCACCUCACACUCACUGUGCUUGUGACAUUUCCUUGUACCAAGCCUUCAACAAAGAGCUGGGAUUUGAACUCCUUGACAAAGCUCAGCAGAGACUCAAGGGAAAGGCCAUCCAUCAAAGCCCGGUACUUGUCAAUCAUAGACCAACGGGCAUAUUCCAGGAUUAAAAGCCGUACAU